GUUUCUAAUUAUAAUGAUUGAGAACCCAGUGUAGAAGUAACACCAUACUGCUGGGAACAUUACCUAUCAAAGCAUAGUUUAAAAUUUCAAUGAUAGUUGAAGUGGAGAUAUUUUAAUAUUUGGUAACAAAUAUUAAAAACUAACAUAAAUUUGUUAGUGUGUGUGGUAGUGUGUGCUAAAGUAAUUGCAUUAUAAAGUACGGUCUUAUCGCUCUCAUAAUAGACGCUGUUGUACAGAAUAAUCUAAGUUAGUUAUAAAUGUGGUAGUUUAUAAAAACCUUAGAAUACCAAUAAGAGAGUUUGUAGUGAUGUUGUAGUAAUACAACUAUAAGAUAAUUUGACGGUACGAGUAGCCAAAUCUACAAGAUAAAAUUAAGAGCAAAAAAGAGAGCAAAAAACUCAAAUAAUAACUGAAUGGUUGGUGAAAGUUGCAAAUAAUCAAUUUUGCAUAGGUAUAUUAAAUUGUUUUCAAUUCAUAGGUUAUACAGCGUAAGAGUCGCUAUCUUGCGUUCAGGUAUAACUUCCUAUUGACUGAAUAAUAAUGAAGAUUAUGGAAGUAUGGCGAAGGUCACUUGAUUAUUUUGUAAUUAG
rnacentral:sRNA from 12 species